CAGAGAGAUAUGGUAGAUGGGCUAGAAGAGCAUGACAUAUACUGUUGUGUCGAUAUUUUCUCCUCGGACCUUGAAAAUUUAUGGUGGGGACACGCAAACUUCUCAACAGGCCGUACCAAUAUCCGCAGCUGGUCUCCAAGGUGAAGAGUCUCUAGUCGAUAGAAUAAUGUAGGUAAGGGAAGUCGGCAAAUUAGAUCCGUAACUUCGGGAUAAGGAUUGGCUCUGAAGAUUGAGAUAGUCGGGCUUGAUUGGGAAACAAUAACAUGGUUUAUGUGCUCGUUCUGGGUAAAUAGAGUUUCUAGCAUUUAUGUUAGUUACUUGUUCCCCGGAUAGUUUAGUUACGUAGCCAAUUGUGGAACUUUCUUGCUAAAAUUUUUAAGAAUACUAUUUGGGUUAAACCAAUUAGUUCUUAUCAAUUAUAACGAUUAUCAAUUAACAAUCAAUUCAGAACUGGCACGGACUUGGGGAAUCCGACUGUCUAAUUAAAACAAAGCAUUGUGAUGGCCCUAGCGGGUGUUGACACAAUGUGAUUUCUGCCCAGUGCUCUGAAUGUCAAAGUGAAGAAAUUCAAGUAAGCGCGGGGUGCGGCAAUCUACCACACUCUAUCCGACUGGCCAGAACCGUCUUCAUCCCGAAGACGGUGACGGCGAAGCGACCGCAAGACUUUCGUCCAAUAUCGGUGCCUUCAGUCCUGGUAAGACAGCUAAAUGCAAUAUUGGCAACCCGGU
rnacentral:ncRNA from 1 species